UAGAGUCUUCCCCUUCGGGGGACAAAGUGACAGGUGGUGCAUGGUUGUCGUCAGCUCGUGUCGUGAGAUGUUGGGUUAAGUCCCGCAACGAGCGCAACCCUUAAGCUUAGUUGCCAGCAUUAAGUUGGGCACUCUAAGUUGACUGCCGGUGACAAACCGGAGGAAGAUGGGGAUGACGUCAAAUCAUCAUGCCCCUUAUGAUUUGGGCUACACACGUGCUACAAUGGGCAAUACAAAGGGCAGCUAAACCGCGAGGUCAUGCAAAUCCCAUAAAGUUGUUCUCAGUUCGGAUUGUAGUCUGCAACUCGACUACAUGAAGCUGGAAUCGCUAGUAAUCGUAGAUCAGCAUGCUACGGUGAAUACGUUCCCGGGUCUUGUACACACCGCCCGUCACACCACGAGAGUCUGUAACACCCGAAGCCGGUGGAGUAACCAUUUAUGGAGCUAGCCGUCGAAGGUGGGACAAAUGAUUGGGGUGAAGUCGUAACAAGGUAGCCGUAUCGGA
rnacentral:rRNA from 1 species